UCUCUCAUAUAAAGCUGUCUUUGUUUUUGUUUUGAUAUAUGCUGUUAUUUAGCACUUGACCUGAUAUUUGAGAAGAGCUCAACUACGGUAUAUGACAAAGCAGGAAGAUAUGUCCUCCAAACCUUAAUUCUCUUCUCAGUUUUGGUGGUAAAUAACAUCUACAACCUACACCAGGCUCAGUAACAGUACUUGGCAUGACCAACCUUAGUCAUCACUUUGGUGCCCGUAAAAGAAGAGACAAAGGCUUCUAGUUAGAGGUCAUCAAAAAAAUUGCUGAAUGGGUCAUCGUAUUUCCAAAAGUCAAGAACAAAGAGGCCAGGACUAGGCUUCUGAAAACUACAAAUGGAGUUUUUAAGAUGUAUCCAGAUGCCACACUAAAAAUGUAAUUUUGCCACCCAUCUAUUAUUUGUAACAGGCACCUGCUUUCACUGGUUUCACUUCUGCCACAUACACCAAAUUAGAAAAAUAACUUAUAGACACAUACCACUUCCCAAGCAGACAAAGGAAAUCAGGCCUUAGAAGAAAGUAUAAGGGAAGGUAGAGGUAUUAGCUAUGUAGAUCAUGCUCAUUUACCUCUUGAGAGAAGGCUUCUCUCUCAAGUUCAACUGUAUUUAAAAUCCGAUCCUAAGACAUUUUAAGGAUAUAAUGUCAUCAGCACAGCCAUCAUGUGCCUUCGGGGAAAAAUGUGUCAGGAGGACACAUUGGUAAACCCUGGGGGGUAUUGUGGAUACCACAGCAUACAAAGUUAAGACGGGGAUUCCAAGAUCAAGGCACAUUUGAGUCUUUUCCUGAUUCUCAAGAGUUUAGGGGAAAUGAUGUCCAUUUUCCAUAAGCUGACCUCAAGUCCUCUGGGGGCUAAAAUGAUUUAACAGCAUGCUCUGAAAUUAACUAGUACAGUCACAAAAUCUUUUGCUAUUUCAACAUAAAAGCAGCAGUCAGAAAUGUAUUCUUACUAAAUAAAAGUCUUAACAUCCUUUGUGUCCAAGGAGCACAACAUUCCAACCUCUCAAAGUCAUUCCAGGAGUUGAGUCUUCAUUUUUUUUCCUUUAAAAAUGAUACAUAUAUAUAUGUGUAUAUAUAUGUAUAUAAAAUAUAUAUAUAUAUAUAUUUUUUGCCCCGACAUUCAGAAGAACAUAAAGCCACAGAAAACACAAAUUGGGGCACUGACUUGUGCCACUCUCAAGGGGAAAAUGCCAAUGUUCUGGGAGAAGAAGGCUGAGUGAUACUGUCUCCCCUCUGUCGCCUCCUCUUUUUUAUCCAGAGUUUUAUGUAGUUUCCUUACACAGAAGAGGAAGAGAAAAAGAGCUACCAUGACACCAGUGGUGUGAGUUUUCAUAAAAUGGAUUAUUUUCAGUGACUAAACACCUAGCACCUUUACAACCUCACUAGAAUAGUCUGAGACUUAAUUUAACAGGUUUCAGCAUCACCAACACUAAAAUUCUGGGAUUACUUUUAUUUUGUGCUGAGACUCUGAUUCCUACAUGCUCUAAGGACACUAAUAGUAGUGGGCACUUCAUUGGGUACUUUUAUAUUUAUCAUAAUUUCUCCCACCUUGUCUUUGCUCCUUUCCCCCAUCUUUCCUGUCCUCCAAGCCUGUUUUUAUGUACAUCUUCCAAUUAGAUGACAAGUGUCUAAACUCUUCUCUGUGGCAUGUCACUGUGAAUUUUGAAUUAUAUAAGGUCAUUAGAUGAACUGAUUAAGAAGGUAUGAACAAAUGAACAUAUGCAUAAAAAUGGAAUAUUUCAAGUCUUUUGCUUGCUCUUCAAAUUGCUGCUACUUCUAGUCAACAUCAGUAGCACUAGGUCAUUUAACAAAAAGCAGCCAUUAAAAGUUCUCUGUGCUAUAUGAAAAUUAACAUUAAUCUCUCAAAAGUGUGGCUUAAAUUUAACUCAAAGCACUGUGGUCAAAGAAGGGGCUACAGAGUCAAAUUUGUACAGUGGGUCAGGCAGAUAAGACCAGUGAAAUGGAUAAGCUGUCAAACCAGAGGAGCUUUAUAUCUAGUUUCUAAAGGUGAUCCAAGCUACUGAACCCCAGCAGUCAGUUGCCAUGUGAGAAUGCAAAUCAAAUGUUUUCAGAACUUCCAAUUUUUCAAAAGCUAGAAAUCCAGAUUUUUGCCUGAAAUAUCUGAAUUCUACAUGUUGGCAAGUGAUUAAAUUAUUUUAAGCACUGUGUAAAACAAAAACACAAAAGCAAAUAACCGUUACUAUGUGGAAUAAGCAAAACAUAGUUGUGGGCUAAAUCCAGACUAUGGGUUGAUAACCCUGCAACUUCUAGGAAAGGGACCAGGGUUUUCAGGGCCAGGGAAGAAGAGGGCAGGUGGGGUGGGAAAGAUGUUACAUGCAAAUGAAUCUAGAAAUAUUUUUUCCAGGAUUAAAAAACACAAUGGAAUAUUUGCCCCUGCCCCUUUAAGUAACAAUAAAAGCAGCAAAGUGGAGAUUUACCAUAACCUGAUUUUCUUGAAUUCCGUUCCCCUGCACCCACUCCCCGAUGAGAUCUGAAGCUUGAUGAGGACAGGAAACUCAAAUCAUCUUGGUAUCCCAGUGCUGAAGAGGCACUGACUGACUCAAAUUCAUUUAUUCAACAAAAAUUUACUGAAUGCCUACUGUGUGCCAGGCACUUUCUGGGGGUAUCUCAAUGAAUAAAAACAGACAAAAACAAAACAAACCUCUGCCCUCAUGGAACUGACCUUCUAGUGGGGAAAACAGAUGUAAUGAAUAAAUAAAUUACAUGGUAUGUUAGAAGGUGGUCAGUGCUCUUAAAAAGAAGUGACGGAAGGGUGAGGUAGAGGGUGAAGGUAGCAGUGUUGCAAGUUUCAAUAAGGGGUUGUCAGAACAGGCUCCACUGAGAAGGUGACAUUUGAGUAAAAAAUUGAAGGUAGUGAGGGGGUGAGCUAUGUAGCUUUCUGGGAAAAGGGCAUUUUAGUCAGAAGGAACAGUCAAUGCAAAAGCCUGCAGCAGGAGUGUGUCUGGAAUAUUUGACAAACACCGAAGAGACCAGUGUGGUGAAAGCACAGGGAGAAAGGGUGCAAGUAUAACACUGUGAAGACUGUGGAUUUUAGCCAUUGUACAGUUAUAUGAGCAAUGUGUUAUAUUUUAAAAGGACCACUCUGGAUGCUGUGUUGAGGACAGUGUGAAGGGGGCCAAAGGUAGAACAAGACCAGUUAGGAGGUUACUAAAACGAUCCUGGAAAGAGAGAAUUUUAGCUUGGACCAGAAUGGUAGCAGUUAUGGCAGUAAGAGAGGGCUGGAUUCUGAACACAUGAUAAACGUAGAGCCAAAAUUACCUGACAGACAGAUACAGGAAACUAUUCACUGAAUUACAGUGAACUAGACAGAACUCUCAUGCUAUCAGGGUAUCAAGAUACAUAUAAAUACAUUUUUCUGUUAUGGUUAUGUCAAAGAUAAUGGAUUCUGUGAGAACCAGGGAGCUAUUUGAAGGGAAAAAUCUCUCCCUUUGAUUAACUCUGAGGCAAAAAUAUUGUAGCACUUAAAACAGAAGCUCUGGAGUUAGGGUACCUGAUCGCUCAUGAACUGUGUGCCCUGGACAUGCUACCUGACUUCCAUGUGCUUUAGAUUCCUUAUCUGUAAAAUGGGGAUAACCCUACCUCAAAGGGUUGUUGUGAGGACUGAAUGAGAUAAUAUCAGUAAGGCUAUUAACUGAGUCUGGCACAUAUUAGACAUGCAAUAAAUGCCAGCUAUUGCUGUUAACAAAUGACCCACUUGCUGAAAAAUAAGCAAGCCAGAAGGCCUCGGAUGAUCUAGGAACUGAGUUACUUUAUUUGGUUAAAUUGUCACUUUGGAGAUUCCCACGCAAUCUUCAUUAACUAAAAGAAUCAUGACAAUUAGGUGUUUUGUGGAGUUUACUAUAAUUAAAUUUGGAUAGGAUGAGGAGAUACCAGCUGUUCCUGAAAAUGUCUCAAGUAAUUUGAGAAUUACGGUACAAAUAUAUUACUGAUUCCAUAUUAAAGAAGUAGGGUAAAUUAUGAAACCACAUCCUAAUCCAAGCCUUUGCAUUAUAUUAGCGAUAGAAAGAGGUAGAGUAAUAUGGUAUCAUUCUUUCAUUGUCAUAUAUUUACUAUGUGCCUAU